GUAUUUGCUUUAGCAACACAUAUAUUAAAAUUGGGACAAUACAGAGAUUUGCAUGGCCCCUGUGCAAGUAUGACAUGCAAAUUGGUGAAGUGUUCCAUAUUAAA
rnacentral:snRNA from 1 species